rnacentral:tRNA from 1 species
GGGCUGGGGCUCAGCGGUAGAGUGCUCACCUAGCACGUGUGAGGUGCUGGGUUCAAUCCCCAGCAUCACA